AUUGAACGCUGGCGGCAGGCCUAACACAUGCAAGUCGAGCGGCAGCGGGAAAGUAGCUUGCUACUUUUGCCGGCGAGCGGCGGACGGGUGAGUAAUGCCUGGGAAAUUGCCCAGUCGAGGGGGAUAACAGUUGGAAACGACUGCUAAUACCGCAUACGCCCUACGGGGGAAAGCAGGGGACCUCCUGGCCUUGCGCGAUCGGAUAUGCCCAGGUGGGAUUAGCUAGUUGGUGAGGUAAUGGCUCACCAAGGCGACGAUCCCUAGCUGGUCUGAGAGGAUGAUCAGCCACACUGGAACUGAGACACGGUCCAGACUCCUACGGGAGGCAGCAGUGGGGAAUAUUGCACAAUGGGGGAAACCCUGAUGCAGCCAUGCCGCGUGUGUGAAGAAGGCCUUCGGGUUGUAAAGCACUUUCAGCGAGGAGGAAAGGUUGAUGCCUAAUACGUAUCAACUGUGACGUUACUCGCAGAAGAAGCACCGGCUAACUCCGUGCCAGCCGCCGCCGUAAGAC
rnacentral:rRNA from 1 species